UCUCCGUUGGUGAACCAGCGGAGGGAUCAUUACCGAGUUAUUCUACUCCCAAACCCCUGUGAACCUUUACCUCUAUUGUUGCUUCGGCGGGUUAACGCCCCGGAAGGCCCGCGAGGGCCGCCGGAACCAGGCGCCCGCCGGGGGACCCAAAGUUUCGUCUCUUUUGAAUAGCAUGUCUGAGUGGAAUCAUAAACGAAUGAAUCAAAACUUUCAACAACGGAUCUCUUGGUUCUG
rnacentral:misc_RNA from 1 species